UAGGAAAUGGUAUAAUAGGAAGUACGGAGAGUUUUGAUCUCUUAAUUAUAGGUUCAAGUCCUAUUUUUCUAG
rnacentral:tRNA from 1 species